GAUGAACGCUAGCGGGAGGCCUAACACAUGCAAGCCGAGCGGUAUUGUUUCUUCGGAAAUGAGAGAGCGGCGUACGGGUGCGGAACACGUGUGCAACCUGCCUUUAUCUGGGGGAUAACCUUUCGAAAGGAAGAUUAAUACUCUAUAAUAUAUUAAUUGGCAUCAAUUGAUAUUGAAAACUCCGGUGGAUAGAGAUGGGCACGCGCAAGAUUAGCUAGUUGGUGAGGUAACGGCUCACCAAGGCAAUGAUCUUUAGGGGGCCUGAGAGGGUGAUCCCCCACACUGGUACUGAGACACGGACCAGACUCCUACGGGAGGCAGCAGUGAGGAAUAUUGGUCAAUGGGUGCAAGCCUGAACCAGCCAUCCCGCGUGAAGGAUUAAGGUCCUAUGGAUUGUAAACUUCUUUUGUAUAGGGAUAAACCUACCCUCGUGAGGGUAGCUGAAGGUACUAUACGAAUAAGCACCGGCUAACUCCGUGCCAGCAGCCGCCGUAACAC
rnacentral:rRNA from 1 species